CCUUCGAUAGCUCAGCUGGUAGAGCGGAGGACUGUAGGCUGUCUGUAGAAAGAAAUCCUUAGGUCGCUGGUUCAAUUCCGGCUCGAAGGA
rfam:Anas platyrhynchos breed Pekin duck contig99910, whole genome shotgun sequence.